rnacentral:rRNA from 1 species
UACGUAGGGUGCAGGCGUUAAUCGGAAUUACUGGGCGUAAAGCGUGCGCAGGCGGUCUUUUAAGUCAGAUGUGAAAUCCCCGGGCUUAACCUGGGAACUGCGUUUGAAACUGGAAGGCUUGAGUGUGGCAGAGGGGGGUGGAAUUCCACGUGUAGCAGUGAAAUGCGUAGAUAUCUGGAGGAACACCGGUGGCGAAGGCGGCAUCCUGGACCAAUACUGACGCUCAUGUGCGAAAGCGUGGGGAGCAAACAGG